UACGUAGGGUGCAAGCGUUGUCCGGAAUUACUGGGCGUAAAGAGUUCGUAGGCGGUUUGUCGCGUCGUUUGUGAAAACCAGCAGCUCAACUGCUGGCUUGCAGGCGAUACGGGCAGACUUGAGUACUGCAGGGGAGACUGGAAUUCCUGGUGUAGCGGUGAAAUGCGCAGAUAUCAGGAGGAACACCGGUGGCGAAGGCGGGUCUCUGGGCAGUAACCGACGCUGAGGAACGAAAGCGUGGGUAGCGAACAGG
rnacentral:rRNA from 1 species